UACGAGGGGGGCGAGCGUUGUUCGGAAUUAUUGGGCGUAAAGGGUGCGUAGGCGGUUCCGCAAGUCCUGUGUGAAAUCUUCGGGCUCAACUCGAAGUCUGCACGGGAAACUGCGGGGCUUGAGUGUGGGAGAGGUGCGUGGAAUUCCCGGUGUAGCGGUGAAAUGCGUAGAUAGUCGGGAGGAACACCUGUGGCGAAAGCGGCGCACUGGACCAUAACUGACGCUGGAGGCGCGAAAGCUAGGGGAGCAAACAGG
rnacentral:rRNA from 1 species